rnacentral:piRNA from 1 species
UCAGAACUCAUUGCAGUUAGGAUGGCUAGC